rnacentral:rRNA from 1 species
CGAUGCAACGCGAAGAACCUUACCUGGGCUUGACAUACACCGGAUCGGGCUAGAGAUAGCUUUCCCUUUGUGGCUGGUGUACAGGUGGUGCAUGGUUGUCGUCAGCUCGUGUCGUGAGAUGUUGGGUUAAGUCCCGCAACGAGCGCAACCCUUGUCUUAUGUUGCCAGCACGUGAUGGUGGGGACUCAUGAGAGACUGCCGGGGUUAACUCGGAGGAAGGUGGGGAUGACGUCAAAUCAUCAUGCCCCUUAUGUCCAGGGCUUCACACAUGCUACAAUGGUCGGUACAACGCGUGUGCGACACUGUGAGGUGAAGCUAAUCGCUCUAAAGCCGGUCGUAGUUCGGAUUGGGGUCUGCAACUCGACCCUAUGAAGUCGGAGUCGCUAGUAAUCGCAGAUCAGCAACGCUGCGGUGAAUACGUUCCCGGGCCUU